rnacentral:lncRNA from 1 species
AGUUUCUGUGGCCUUUUUCCGCUGGACGAACUUAGCACCCCGGCCUUCGGGCAGUUAUUUUUGGACGCGGCUUUGCCCGCGGCCUAUUUUUGGUACACGGAGAUCCCUCGCAAAGUCUCGCAGCAUUCCGAGUCCGGCGGACGAAGUUGGCCAGCCCCACCCCCCAAGGCUAUAGCCCACCCGUUUUUGUGGCAUUUUUCCGCUGGACGUACUUGGCGCCCCGGCCUUCGGGCAGUUAUUUUUGGUCACGGCUGUGCCCGCGGCCUAUUUUUGGCACACGGAGGUGCCUUGCAAAGUCUCGCGCAAUUGCGAGUCCGGCGGACGAAGUUGGCCAGCCCCACCCCCCAAGGCUAUAGCCCACCCGUUUUUGUGGCAUUUUUCCGCUGGACGAACUUGGCGCUCCGGCCUUCGGGCGGUUAUUUUUGUCUACGGCUGUGCCCGCGGGCUAUUUUUGGCACACGGAGGCGCCUCGCAAUGUCUCGCACCAUUCCGACUCCGGCGGACAAAGUUGGCCGGCCCCACCCCCCAAGGCUAUAGCCCACCCGUUUUUGUGGCCUUUUUCCGCUGGACGAACUUGGCGCCUCGGCCUUCGGGCUGUUAUUUUUGGGUGCGGCUGUGCCCGCGGCCUAUUAUUGGCACACGGAGUCACAUCACAAAGUCUCGCACUAUUCCGAGUCCGGCGGACGAAGUUGGCCAGCCCCACUCCCCAAGGCUAUAGCCCACCCGUUUUUGUGGCAUUUUUCCGCUGGAUGAACUUGGCGCCCCGGCCUUCGGGCGGUUAUUUUUGGGCACGGCUGUGCCCGCAGCCUAUUUUUGGUACACGGAGGUGCCCCGCAAAGUCUCGCGCAAUUGCGAGUCCGGCGGACGAAGUUGGCCAGCCCCACCCCCCAAGGCUAUAGCCCACCCGUUUUUGUGGCAUUUUUCCGCUGGACGAACUUGGCGCCCCGGCCUUCGGGCAGUUAUUUUUGGGCGCGGCUGUGCCCGCGGCCUAUUUUUGGCACACGGAGGCGCCUCGCAAAGUCUCGCGCCAUUCCGAGUCCGGCGGACGAAGUUGGCCAGCCCCACCCCCCAAUGCUAUAGCCCAACCGGUUUUGUGGCAUUUUUCCGCUGGACGAACUUGGCGCCCCGGCCUUCGGGCGGUUAUUUUUGGGCGAGGAUGUGCCCUUGGCCCAUUUUUGGCACACGGAGGCGCCUCGCAAAGUCUCGCGGCAUUCCGAGUCCGGCGGACGAAGUUCGCCAGCCCCAUCCCACGAGGCUAUAGCCCACCCGUUUUUGUGGGCUUUUUCCGCUGGACGAACUUGGCGCCCCGGCCUUCGGGCGGUUAUUUUUGGGUCGGCUGUUCCCGCGGCCUAUUUUUGGCACACGGAGGUGCCUCGCAAAGUCUCGUGCCAUUCCGAGUCCGGCGGACGAAGUGGGCCGGCCCCACCCCCCAAGGCUAUAGCCCACCCGUUUUUGUGGCCUUUUUCCGCUGGACUAACAUGGCGCCCCGGCCUUCGGGCAGUUAUUUUUGUCACGGCUGUGCCCACGGCCUAUUUUUGGCACACGGAGGUGCCUCGCAAAGUCUCGCGCCAUUCCGAGUCUGGCGGACGAAGU